rnacentral:rRNA from 1 species
CAGUAGCCGCGGGAAUACAGAGGGUGCGAGCGUUAAUCGGAUUUACUGGGCGUAAAGCGUGCGUAGGCGGCUUCUUAAGUCGGAUGUGAAAUCCCUGAGCUUAACUUAGGAAUUGCAUUCGAUACUGGGAAGCUAAAGUAUGGGAGAGGAUGGUAGAAUUCCAGGUGUAGCGGUGAAAUGCGUAGAGAUCUGGAGGAAUACCGAUGGCGAAGGCAGCCAUCUGGCCUAAUACUGACGCUGAGGUACGAAAGCAUGGGGAGCAAACAGGAUUAGAUACCCGAGUAGUCCCUGUCUCUUAUAA